rnacentral:lncRNA from 1 species
AGCCCCCUCUGUUCUCUAUCAUGUUCCAAACACAUGCACUAUAAUUUUUCUUCAUAGGAGAGUCAAGAGGAAAGAUGCUGGACUCACAUCUAUCAAGUGGAGGGAAACAUACAGCUGAGGAUGGUUAACGUGAACAUGAGAUGUGUUUGCGUCUGAAGACUGCAGCCCAAGACGCCCAUAGGAAGCCUCCAUCCUGGUGCCCGCUGGGCUAAGUUUGGAGCCAGGAGGGAAAUGGUUUGGCAGGAAGUCAACGAGCCAUGGGAGGAAGACGACAGAGUGGAGAAAGCAGACGUCUCACAGAGGGGCUGGGCCGAGGGGGUCUGAGUGGGCAGACUGGACAGGGCUCCAAAGACCCCCAGAAGUCCCUGCAAGUCCCUGGAGUCCAGGAAGCAACCACCUUUCCACACGGAAGCGGACACCGUGUCACCUGCCUGGCCAUUGACAGCAGUGUUAAUGGCACCCCUGAUGGCUGCUCAGGAGCGGGGACCUUGGUGGAGCUCCUAUGGUGACAUAGGACAGG